GCCUAAACUUUCUAUUUCUACGCGGUUUUAAUCGUGAAAAAAAAAAACAAAUAUAAAUCCUUAAGGAGCAAUUGAUUGGUAUACAGUUUAAUUAAAAAAAUAAAAAAUAAAUAAAUGAAAUAAUGUACAUUGGCGUAAAGUUAGACCAAAUACAUUUUUUCCAUCCUCCUACCUAUCGUUAUGAACACAGAACACUAUGUUAUGAAGGUAUAAAAAAGAUAGGGAGUUCACAUAGGUAAUAUAAACAAAUAAGUCAAUAAUAUGUUCAUUCUUUAUCUUUCAAGAGAUAAUGUAGGUAUACAUUAUCUCUUGAAAUUCACCUGCAGAUCGUUGAGUCUCACAUACCCCGCGCGCCCCCUAGGCGCGGGGACCUCGUAGGAGGUUCGGCCACCGGCCCGAGAAAAAAAAAAAAAAAAAAAAAAAAAACAGGUUAUGUAUUGAAAGUGUUGGAAAAUUAUUUCAUGUUUUAGCUGGAAAACGACAUUGAGAAUUAUAUGCAAUACAAGAUAAUGGGCUCCAUCUAAUGAAUUCGAAUGAAACCAAACUGUUUACCAUCCAAAUUCGAUUGUCGGGCAGAUAUAAAACGAAAAUUCACUCAAAGUGAACCUCGACCUGCAUUUGUGAAACGGCAAAGACUCACUAUUGUCAAGGAGAUUGAAGAGACGACUAAAAAUGAGAUGUGUUAUAUUAUUAUACCUUUGCCAUCUUGUAGUCAAGAUGUCCAGCCACUUGAAAAUAGGUGUAGUAAUGACAAAGCUAUCCAAGUAGCUCCAGCACAGGAACACAAAGGCAAGGCAAGUGUGUAUUGCCACAUCACCCCUAAAUAUAUCUGAAGCAAGUACAAGUAAACAAUCAGAACCAGCAAAAAGAAAACUGUUGUUCCUGAGGACAAAUUUGACAGUGAUCAGUCAAAUGCACCAGCAACAGAAGGAUCAGCUGUUGAAAGUUAUCUCUCUAUAUCUCCACUCCAUCAAAGACUUGUGCACUUCAUUUAUUGAAAUUAAUAUUAAUGAAUAUUAAUUUAAAUUAUCGUGCGAAUUUUGUGGUCAAAACAUAUAUGUGUAUUUUAUAAAUAAAUAUUCAUUCUCAGUA